CUUAUUGUGUCUAUAGUUCUUUUGUCCAAUGACGUGCCACCACUUUUUAACAGCACGAGCUCCGCCAAUGGGAAUUUGCUAUAUGUAUUCAUAGGCGGGGCACAGCUGGGCAGACAGGUGCACAGGCAUCUGUGAUCUGUGUGAGCAGUUCAGCCAUGGCCACCAGUGACAUUAGUUGUAAAGGUUGCGAAUUUGAUAACUGGGAAAUCAUCGCUCCUGCGAUGUAAGUCAUUGUACAAUCGAGAAGAGGACCAGCCAGGACCUUCAUCCUUUCGUUAAGAGCAUUAUUAAUGAUUGGAGAGAUUCUGCCUACGGAGACUCCUCUGGGUCAUAAGAAACUCAAGUAAAUCUGCUAUAGUGACCAAGAUUCUAUCCACAGUCCUCUGAAGCAUGAGGUAGCAGUGCAGUAUUGAGCAUGGUGAUGGAACCUGGACUCACCUUGAUGCAUAUAACCUCAGAGAAAGCAGGUUCCUGGGCUGAGACGACGAGGGUGGUGGAGUAAGUGGAGGGCGUAAGUCUGGGCACCCACACCAGGGUACUGAUGUAUCUGUAAAUUUUUAGAUUUGCU